rnacentral:lncRNA from 1 species
UCUCACUUGGAAGCACCUUAAAUCCUUGGUGUUCAGAUCUGACAACUGUAAAAAUGUUCGCUAAAGAGGUUUGCGGGGGAUUUCUUGAGCAGCACAAGAUUAUUUUUUUCCCAACAACUAAAAAUAUUUAGUAAUCACUGGAGAGCAAGGGAGAAGUUUCCGCAACACAUAAGGAGGAGCCACUUCUGCGUGGAACAAAGGUAACCAGGCCAUUCAUGCUGUUUAUGGGAGAAGUGUUGUGCAACUGG